AGGAUUAGAUACCCGGGUAGUCCACGCCCUAAACGUUGCGAACUAGGUGUUGGUCGGAUUGACCCGAUCAGUGCCGCAGCUAACGCAUUAAGUUCGCCGCCUGGGGACUACGGCCGCAAGGUUAAAACUCAAAGGAAUAGGCGGGGGCCCGCACAAGCAGCGGAGCGUGUGGUUUAAUUCGAGGCGACGCGAAGAACCUUACCUGGGCUUGACAUGUAGAGGAAACGCUGGUGAAAGCCAGCGCCCCUCGCAAGAGGUCUCUACACAGGUGGUGCAUGGCUGUCGUCAGCUCGUGCCGUGAGGUGUUGGGUUAAGUCCGCAACGAGCGCAACCCCUGUCCUUAGUUGAAUUUUCUAGGGAGACUGCCGGGCGAAACCCGGAGGAAGGUGGGGAUGACGUCAAGUCCGCAUGCCCUUUAUGUCCAGGGCUACACACACGCUACAAUGGCCGGCACAACGGGUUCCGACACGGCGACGUGAAGGCAAUCCCUUAAAACCGGUCUCAGUUCGGAUUGUUGGCUGCAACUCGCCAGCAUGAAGUCGGAGUUGCUAGUAAACGCAGGUCAGCACACUGCGUUGAAUACGUUCCCGGGCCUUGCACUCACCGCCCGUCACAUCACUUGAAUCUGUUGCUCCCGAAGUCGCUGGCCGAACCCGUGAGGGACGGAGGCGCCGAAGGAGUGGCCGGUGAGAGGGGUGAAGUCGUAACAAG
rnacentral:rRNA from 1 species